UACGUAGGGGGCGAGCGUUGUCCGGAAUCAUUGGGCGUAAAGCGCGUGUAGGCGGCUCGAUAAGUCCGGUGUGAAACCUUGGGGCUCAACCCCAAGCCCGCACUGGAUACUGCCGAGCUAGAGUCCGGGAGGGGAGAGCGGAAUCCUAGUGUAGCGGUGAAAUGCGCAGAUAUUAGGAAGAACACCGGUGGCGAAGGCGGCUCUCUGGAACGGUACUGACGCUGAGACGGCGAAAGCGUGGGGAGCGAACAGG
rnacentral:rRNA from 1 species